AGCGAACGCUGGCGGCAGGCCUAACACAUGCAAGUCGAACGGAUCCUUCGGGAUUAGUGGCGGACGGGUGAGUAACACGUGGGAACGUGCCUUUAGGUUCGGAAUAACUCAGGGAAACUUGUGCUAAUACCGAAUGUGCCCUUCGGGGGAAAGAUUUAUCGCCUUUAGAGCGGCCCGCGUCUGAUUAGCUAGUUGGUGAGGUAAUGGCUCACCAAGGCCACGAUCAGUAUCUGGUCUGAGAGGAUGACCAGCCACAUUGGGACUGAGACACGGCCCAAACUCCUACGGGAGGCAGCAGUGGGGAAUCUUGCGCAAUGGGCGAAAGCCUGACGCAGCCAUGCCGCGUGGAUGAUGAAGGUCUUAGGAUUGUAAAAUCCUUUCACCGGUGAAGAUAAUGACUGUAGCCGGAGAAGAAGCCCCGGCUAACUUCGUGCCAGCAGCCGCCGUAAGAC
rnacentral:rRNA from 1 species